UUGGGAUCUUUGACAUGAUUGUUGAUUUAAAACUUGUUUUUUUUUCCUAGAAUUAGAAAAUAUAAUUAGUAUGGCUAUUGGCACAUAGUCCUGAAUUCCUUUGUGUAACUAAUCAACAUGGAAAUUUUAGUAUUCCUGUCAUCAUUACCCCCUCAGUUUCUAACUUUAUGUAGCUAUGAAAAUGAGUAUUAUAAUCAUGAUUACAGAUGCUGUUGAAUGGUGCCUACAUAAGACCUGCAUUCAGAUAGUCUAGCUUAUGAUUUGGAGAUGGGCUGAACUCUCAUUUGUUGAGCGGACUUGUUUCACUAUAGGAAAAAAUUAUGAUUAAAAUACUAAUUAAAAUGCUGCUUUUACUGAGUUUAAGCUUAAUAUUUUCAGAACUUUUUAGUGAAAAUACUUGACAUGUUUAAUAAUUAGGUGACUUGACCUCAUCUUCUAAUCAGGACAUGGACUACAUUCCCUGUUCUCCUUAUGAUAUAUUGCUCCACCCUCCAAAUAAUCGUUUGUAUUAUUCUAAUGCAGCAAAGGUAAGCUUUUAUCAUUAUAAACUGCAGCAAAUUAAAUGAUGCUUUCUAUUCAUAGCUUGACUCUGCUGCUGCUGCUAAGUCGCUUCAGUCGUGUCCGACUUUGUGUGACUCCAUAGACGGCAGCCCACCAGGCUCCCCCAUCCCUGGGAUUCUCCAGGCAAGAACACUGGAGUGCGUUGCCAUUUCCUUCUCCAGUGCGUGAAAGUGAAGUCGCUCAGUCGUGUCCGACUGUUUGCGACCCCAUGGACUGCAGCCCGCCAGGCUCCUCCAUCCAUGGGAUUUUCCAGGAGUCUUCAAGAAAGCAGUAUUUUUCUAAGAUCACCCAAAGUUGUCUGCCAGUAUGGAAGCUCCAAGUCGUACUCAGGGACCCUGUUUCCAGGCUCCUGUGAUGCUUGGCUUUUUCUUCCUAAAAGACCCUUCAGGGCUCGGACACCCUGCUUUUUGUGCCGGUGAGUGGACCCUCCUGGGGUCAGGGGUCUGCCAGUGUGAGAAAAGCCACGCCUCCCUCCCUUAUCCAGGUACCUUUCUCUCUUCAUGCCCAAAUGCCACAUGGCCAUGUUUCCUGUGUCUUUUCUUUUUCCUGUUCACCCCUUUAGCACCAGCAACCAUCAGAACUGCCCUUUGCUCCCUAGUCGCAGACGUUCACUCUCUUUAAAUGGUGUAUAAAGUCCAUCGAAGACCUUGAACAUUUCCUGCUUUGUUAGCGGUUGGAAAAUGACCACAGCCCCUGCCCAGGCCAGGCACUGCCUAUUAUGAAGGGCAAUGAGAAUUUAAAACCGAGACUCACCGAGUAACUCAAAGGUACCCAGUUUGGAGAGGAGGGCUGGGUGUUUUGGGGCCAGCAGAGCGCUGGGCUCUUGCCUCUUCUCCAGCCGCAAGAUGAAGCCUGGGAUCACUGUGGUGCUCCCCACCAUGCGGGUCCUCAGAGGCCAGUGCUGCCUAACUGCCUGCACUGUGUCCUCACUAGGCAAUGCCAGGACUCACCUCUGGUGUUAGUAACAGGAGGCAGGAAUUGAAUGCUUAACCCCUAGCAACCAAACUGGCAAGCCUUCCCACAGAGCCUGAAAAAGAGGAGUAUUUUGAACACAGAUCUCUUAAACAGCUGUUGCACGGGCAGAGCAGAUGGAGCCAGGGUAGUGUUCAGAACCAAAAUAGCAAUUGUAUCGCAAAUUACAGGUGCUUCCAAACAGGCUUGCCUGCACUUUGUGACAAGAAGCUGCUCCUCCCACCUGAGGGUUCAGGAUGAACCAGAGACAGAGCUGCAUGAGCAUUCCACACAUUGAUGGCGACUGGGUCAGUUAUCUAGCACACCACCCCAAAGCAUAGUGGCUUACAAUAAUCGCCUCCCCCCGCAAUAGUGUUAAGCAUUAGCUGAACUUACCAGAGGGCUUCUGGUGGUCAGGCUUAAGGGUGUCUCCUUGAGGCAUUCAGAUGAGAGCACAGCUGUGGUUGGUAACAUUCAAGAUGCCUUAUCCUCAGGUCUCAGCAAACUGGGAGUCCACUCCAGGCGAGAUCCAACCCACAGUUCGUUUCUGUACUGCCACAGGCUAAGAAUAGUUUUUACAUUUUUAAACGGAAAACCAAAAGAAAAAUCAUCUCAUGACAUGUGAAAAUUACAUGAAAUUCAGAUUUUGACAUCUGUAAGAUUUCAUUGGCACAGAGCCACCCCUGGCCACAUACAUAGUUUAUGGCAGCUUUUGCACUGUGGUGGCAGAAUUAUGUAGUUACAACAGACAUGAAGGUCAUGUGGCCUGCAAAGCUGAACAUUUUUACUGUCUGGCCCUGGAUAGAAAGUCUUCUGACCCCUACUCCUAAGCAUCUCUCUACAGACAACUUCAUUAACCAUCAGUGGGUUAUUUUGAGAAUGUUUAGUUUUUUUUCUUUCUAAAUGAUGAGGCCAGAGAGACUCCAGCCUGUCACUUACAAGCAUUAUCUCCAAAUAACAUACUGCAUGCAGGUGUGAGUAAUUUGGGGCUUAACCGUGAAUAUAAUUUUCAUUAUAUUUACUCCAUCUUAACAUCAUCUUUCAGAUUACUGGAGUAAAUCUGAAGCCACAGUUAACAUUUUUAUCAGAUGUAUGCAAAUAAUAGAACCAUCUAUGAUGAUCAUACAGAGAUAAACGUCCA
ensembl:lncRNA